UUGAAACACGGACCAAGGAGUGCAACAUGUGCGCGAGCCCUUUGGCGAGCAAACCAGAAGGCGCAAUGAAAGUGAAGGCACGGCCGCCGUGCUGAGGUGAGAGCCGUCCCCGCCGGGGCGGCGCAUCAUCGACCGAUCCCAUCCGCGCUGUUCGCAGUGCGGCGGGAUUCGAGUGAGAGUGUACCUGUUGCGACCCGAAAGAUGGUGAACUAUGCCUGAAUAGGGUGAAGCCAGAGGAAACUCUGGUGGAGGCCCGUAGCGAUUCUGACGUGCAAAUCGAUCGUCAAAUUUGGGUAUAGGGGCGAAAGACUAAUCGAACCAUCUAGUAGCUGGUUCCCUCCGAAGUUUCCCUCAGGAUAGCUGUAGCCCGAGGCAGUUUUAUCAGGUAAAGCGAAUGAUUAGAGGUAUCGGGGAAGAAACUUCCUCGACCUAUUCUCAAACUUUAAAUAGGUAAGAAGUCCGACUUGCUCAAUCUGAAGCCGGACGCAGAAUGCUGGGUUACUAGUGGGCCAUUUUUGGUAAGCAGAACUGGCGAUGCGGGAUGAACCGAACGCAGAGUUAAGGUGCCAAAGUCGACGCUCAUCAGAUCCCACAAAAGGUGUUGGUUGAUAUAGACAGCAGGACGGUGGCCAUGGAAGUCGGAAUCCGCUAAGGAGUGUGUAACAACUCACCUGCCG
rnacentral:rRNA from 1 species